rnacentral:lncRNA from 10 species
AUUUUUUUUUUUGGCAAGUAAACUUAUUAGGUGUUGGUGUAUAUUUGCAUAUGUGGCGUAGAAUAUUUGGUGUAGAACAUUCAUCUUUUUGUUAUAUUAACAGCCAUUGAAGACCAUUUCUUAUACGUACUACUUUUUCAUUGAUCAGCUACAUUUUUGAUGGUUACUUUUCCUACAUUUUUGAUGGAUGUUUUUGCUAUAUCAUUUUAGGUUACUAUUUUUCUUUUACUAUCUUCUGGCUUCCAUUCUUUAUCACUUAUUGUUAGCUAUAAGCCUUAUCAUCAUCCUUUUAAAGGUAAUCUGUCGC